UACAGAGGGGGCAAGCGUUAUUCGGAAUUAUUGGGCGUAAAGGGCGCGUAGGCGGCCUGACAAGUGGAAGGUGAAAUCCCUCGGCUUAACCGAGGAACUGCCCUCCAAACUGUUUGGCUUGAGACCGGGAGAGGUGAGUGGAAUUCCCAGUGUAGCGGUGAAAUGCGUAGAUAUUGGGAGGAACACCAGUGGCGAAGGCGGCUCUCUGGGACGGUACUGACGCUGAGACGCGAAAAGCGUGGGGAGCGAACAGG
rnacentral:rRNA from 1 species